rnacentral:rRNA from 1 species
CAAUAGCGUAUAUUAAAGUUGUUGCGGUUAAAAAGCUCGUAGUUGGAUCUCGGCAGGCAGGGGGUGGUUCGCUCUUAGCGCUACUGCCCCAUUUGCCUGGGUGAUUGGCGGAGGUUUCGGGGUGCUCUUCGUUGAGUGACCCGGGGCGCCGUCAGGUUUACUUUGAAAAAAUUAGAGUGCUCAAAGCAGGCUUUUCACGCUUGAAUAUUCGUGCAUGGAAUAAUGGAAUAGGAACUCGUUUCUAUUUUGUUGGUUUUCGGAAAUCGAGUUAAUGAUUAAUAGGGACAAUUGGGGGCAUUAGUAUUCAGACGACAGAGGUGAAAUUCUUGGACCGUCUGAAGACUAACUACUGCGAAAGCAUUUGCCAAGAGUGUUUUCAUUAA